UCUAAUUCACCGAAAAACGAAGUUUCGUACGAAAUUUCGCGAACUUCUUACCACGGUUCCAUUUCGUUCCGAAAUUUCGUACGAACGAAGAUUGUUUGACGUUUAUUGUCUAUAAACCUACUCUAAUUCGAAAUGCUACGAACGAAUAUUUGAGUUUGACAGACGAAACUUCGGAAUUUUAACCUCAAAUUCAACGAAACCAAAGGAGUUAUCGUUUGAUUUUCGUGUUACUUUUCGUUUUGUGAAUUUUGUGUGAAAAUUAUUGGCAAAGGCUACAAUAAUGCUUUUAAUCAAAGCAGCUUUACGUGAAGAUCAUGUAGAGCGAAGAAGGAACCGGCAGUGCUUGCGCAAUCAAUUAAAUAUUAGCGAAAUUCCCGACGUAGAGUUUGUAGGAAAUCACAGACUCAGUCGGCAAUUUUUCGAAGGGUUGUGCCAGGAAUUCGUGCCUUUAUUACCUCCAAACAAUGCACAUUGCAAUUGCUAGACCUUCUGGAAUCGAAAAUAUUUCCAUUCUCUUAACACCCAAGUUAUAUUAUGUGACAGCGAUACUAUAUAACAAAUGUGGAUGUGUCAUUUGGUGGAGCAACACACAUGAUGCUUAUAUUUGGAGAGAGUGUGAUAUUAGAAGCCACUUGGAGGGUCUCCAGAAUGAAACAGUUUAUCUGUUAGGUGACUCUGGGUAUUCUCUCUAAGGGAGCAUAUGAUGACACCGAUAGAUAAAGCUGUUGAAGAUUCUCUUGAAGGCAGAUACAACUUUGCAGAGCUUUGUUAGUGCACAUUUUGGAAAGGAAUAGGUAGGACAAAGUUCUACUCAAGCACAUCAUAACAUGCUCCAGAAAAUAUGUAUGUUUAUUGAUUUUAAGUAUUUGACAUGAUGUUAUUUAUUUCCUUUAGAGUUUAAUAAAAGAAUAAAUUAUA
rnacentral:lncRNA from 1 species